rnacentral:rRNA from 1 species
CAGUCGACUAGAGUUUGAUCCUGGCUCAGGAUGAACGCUGGCGGCGCGCCUAACACAUGCAAGUCGAACGGUUAAAGCAUCUUCGGAUGUGCAUAAAGUGGCGAACGGCUGAGUAACACGUGGGCAACCUGCCCCUCGCAUCGGGACAGCCUCGGGAAACCGUGGUUAAUACCGGAUACUCCGCCACCCCGCAUGGGGAGGCGGGAAAGCCCAGACGGCGAGGGAUGGGCCCGCGGCCUGUUAGCUUGUUGGUGGGGCAGUGGCCCACCAAGGCGAUGAUGGGUAGCCGGGUUGAGAGACCGACCGGCCAGAUUGGGACUGAGACACGGCCCAGACUCCUACGGGAGGCAGCAGUGGGGAAUCUUGCACAAUGGGCGAAAGCCUGAUGCAGCGACGCCGCGUGCGGGACGAAGGCCUUCGGGUCGUAAACCGCUUUCAGCAGGGACGAGGCCGCAGGGUGACGGUACCUGCAGAAGAAGCCCCGGCUAACUAC